UAAUUGAAGAGUUUGAUCAUGGCUCAGAUUGAACGCUGGCGGCAGGCUUAACACAUGCAAGUCGAGCGGUAGCACAAGAGAGCUUGCUCUCUGGGUGACGAGCGGCGGACGGGUGAGUAAUGUCUGGGAAACUGCCUGAUGGAGGGGGAUAACUACUGGAAACGGUAGCUAAUACCGCAUAACGUCGCAAGACCAAAGAGGG
rnacentral:rRNA from 1 species